CGGGGGCCGCCACGGGGGCGGUGGCCGCGCGGAGAGGUCGGCCAGGGGUGGUGGGCGCCCGGGGGAUGGAGAGGGCAUCUAGGAGCCCAGCGGAGUGCAGCGACUGGGGAGGAGCACGGAGGGCGCCCCGCUCCGCCUUGUGCGUCGCCCCAUUUCUGGUCCCCCUGUGCGCACCCCGUCUCGCGGCCGGCAGGCCCAAGCCCCUCGGUGACGCCCACCCCGUGACCGCAGAAGAGGCGAGGAGGGCUACAGACACCGAGACGCCCGCCUUCUCCGACUUGUGUACUGUGGGACGCCAAGGUGUCAGCCCGCGCUCUUUGGGAUGCUGAUUGUAUUUUUUAUGAAAUGCUGUGUGCCACUGAUUCUUCCAUCCUUGGGGAGACCAUGUUGGACAGAAGGUUCUGGCUUCUGGAAGCUGGAAGGGGAACCAGGCAAUAAAUGACUGCAGUAUAAUGCCACUGGUGAGAGAUGCCAUGAGAAAGAUGCAAAACAGGGUACAACUUGUAUUACAUGGAACUUCUGUGAGAAAGAAGUUAUUUGGUUGCAAAGCACUCAAAAGCAGCCAAAUGAUGGAAGACGGCUUAACUUGGCAGACAGUUUGCAAGAGCCUUUCUUGAAAAUGGGUUUUUGAUGAGGGGUGAAGAGAAGGACAUUUGGUUACCCUGAGUGAGGGUGGAUGUAGGGACACAACCCACCAAGGUAAUGCCAUGUGGGGCUCCAGGCUUCAAAGAGAUGAGAGUCCAUCUUCCCCAGUUUGCCCAGGAUUUGGCAGCUUUUCUGUUAAUGGCCAGGUUAUUAUUUUGUUAUUAUUGAGGCUCAUAUACUAAAAUGCACAAAUUUUAGUGUACAGCUCGAUGAGUUUUGACAUGUGUACACACAAAUGUAACCAUCACCCUGAUUAAGAUAACAAGCGUUCUCAUUAAUUUCCCCUGCCUUGACCUAUUUUGCCUACUACACCACGGCUUCCCCUGGUAACCAUCAGUCUCUUCUCUGUUUAUGAGUAUAUUUCUGUUUUGUUCAUUCCCUUGUUUUGUUUUUUAGAUUUAUAAGCAAGAUCAUAUGGCAUUUGUCUUUCUCUUAUUUCAGCACACAUCCAGAUCAAAGCAUUGCUUGAGGGGUAGGCAUCUGCUGGGGGUGGGUACUUUAUCUAAAUGAAGGGUGUAGUGUUAUAGAGCCCCUGAGCUCAGGGAAAAGGAAAACCCAAGAAAGCAUCUGGAGAAGCCACAUCCCAGAGCUGAACGGGGUCUACAGAGCCUUUGGCCUGCCCACAAGAAAUGCUAGGAAUACUUGCUUCUGAGAAGUGCCUGCCUUAACACUUGGGUUAUCUAACACAAACCCAAUUUGUGGACUGUGGGACCGACAUUGUGCAUUUGUUUUACCUCUGAAUAGUUUCACAAAAUUACCUGUGUUUCAACUAUGAUCAAGGAAAUUUCCUGUAAUGCCAAUUUUUGUAUGUAUUAAUCUGUGCCUUAAGAACAUAGCUCUUGACACCAUGACUUACAUCCUUUGUUAGAAAGCAUAAUUAACUUUGUAAGAAAGCCCUCCUCUCUGGGCACUCUACUUCUUUGGAAGGACUGUGUUUCCAGGCGCCAUCCUAAACCUGGGCUCAAAUAAAACUCUAACAACUCUUCUC